GACGCACGCUGGCGGCGUGCUUAACACAUGCAAGUCGAACGGAAAGGCCCUGCUUUUGUGGGGUGCUCGAGUGGCGAACGGGUGAGUAACACGUGAGUAACCUGCCCUUGACUUUGGGAUAACUUCAGGAAACUGGGGCUAAUACCGGAUAGGAGCUCCUGCUGCAUGGUGGGGGUUGGAAAGUUUCGGCGGUUGGGGAUGGACUCGCGGCUUAUCAGCUUGUUGGUGGGGUAGUGGCUUACCAAGGCUUUGACGGGUAGCCGGCCUGAGAGGGUGACCGGCCACAUUGGGACUGAGAUACGGCCCAGACUCCUACGGGAGGCAGCAGUGGGGAAUAUUGCACAAUGGGCGGAAGCCUGAUGCAGCAACGCCGCGUGCGGGAUGACGGCCUUCGGGUUGUAAACCGCUUUCGCCUGUGACGAAGCGUGAGUGACGGUAAUGGGUAAAGAAGCACCGGCUAACUACGUG
rnacentral:rRNA from 1 species